UUUCAGCCUCAGCACCAGUGCCAUUAUGAUGGAUGUUUACAUCUCUUCAUUGAGAGCCAAUUAUCUUGCUUUUGUGUGAGGCCCAAAGAUCACUCAUGCUGCCUGCUUGCACAGAGCACUGUUGGAUCUAGCUGAAGGAAUUGUUUUCUCUAUCUCUGCACUACAAAGAGAUUCUGGUCAAUAAGGAUAUCAUCCAUUUGGCAGAAAACCCUACCAGUCACUCCAUAAAUUGCAACAGAAAGCUGGUGAUAUACCAAAUGCUAGUCAACUGAAACAAAAUCUUCUAUAAGCAUGGCAAAGAGAUUUCUAAUGUGAAAAUGUAAUCCUUCACUAAGUAUUCAUAUUAUGGGUCCUCCUUUGGCUAGUCCCUAGAAGAGAGGUUUACUGUAAUGACCAGCGAGAGCAGGUCAGUCUACCUCCUCAACUGUGGUACAGUUAUCCAUUACUGCCAGUGAUUGUGUUGACCCUCAGAAAAUACAGCUGCUGACAUCCAAAGGAGGAGAUGACCUGUUCAUAAUCUAAUGGAAAUGCCUUUUCCCCACUUCACACAUAAAUUAAGAAGAAAGUCAGAAUAAAGGUAGCUGAGGCAGACAGUCAUCUGAGAAAGAUCCUGUAGCUACAACACUCAAUGGCUCAGGGAUUUCCUGCCUUUCAGCAUGCAUCGACAGAUCACUUCAAUCCCACUGGGAGUACGAAUAUGCUUGCACCAGCCACGGGUCCCUUUGCGAGUCAGGUUCUUUGGCUGAUGUUCAUUCCCACAUUCCCUGGUAUGUAUUUGCCAGUUGCUCCAGGGUGACAUCUGUGCAGGAAGAUGCCUGCAGGUCUGAAGGACAGGCAGGUGCUUGGAGGCUGCUCCAAAGCGGAAUUUUGGAUGAAAGGAUGGAAAUUGUCUUCAGCUGCAAAGGGAAGGCUGCGAUGUGCAGUAGUAGAAAAGAUCUGCUGCCAGGAGACCUCACUAGAGCUGCUGCUGCUGCCGCCACUGCUGCAACCACAUACUUCUCCCUCUAGGCCCUGGUGUGCAUGUGCAGAGCAGCCGUAGGCAGUCCAGGAAUGCAGCUUUAAACGAGCCAUAGCCCUAAGAGACACAUUUCUUUGAGCAAAGAGCCACAUACGGUUUGAGAGUCGCGGGUUGGCCACCUCUGUUUUAAAGUGUCCUGGUUGGUCCAAGACUAGAGGUGUGACUGAAUAAAAAGAACGAGCUCUUUUUGUUAUGUGGUAUGCACAAGUAAAAAAAAAAAGUCUCUAUAUUUUGCUUGCUGAAGGUUGAACUAAAUGAAAUAAAAUAAGAACUUUAUAGUCUCACCAUAUGUCCUUUCCCACUACAAAUCCUCAACUCUGUCCAAUAUUUAAACUUUUUUUGAAUUCUAAAAAUAUUCAGUUAAGAUUUCUUCACUAUUGUACACAGGUUUUUCACUUUCUAUCCUUUUCACCUGCAGGCUCCAGAUAAAACCAGAACUACUAAUACAGAAGAGAAAAGUGUGGCCCAUGGUGGAGGGGAGACAUUGGGAGAGAGGGAAUGUAAAGGAAAGAUUUACUGCAUCCUAAGCUCCAUGAAACCUGCACAUCAGUGCAAGGACCUACACAUUCAGUUUGCAUUAUACACUAAAUGAUACUGACCCAAAGCAUUACAGUUCAACUUUUGGCAAAUGGUACCAAUCUGUAAUAUAAUAUACUAGUUUACAGUGGUGGCUAACUAUUCUUCUACCACUGAACAGGAAACUUUGAGUGAUAACCAGAGAACAGCCUUCUGCACAGUGCACAUUAACGUUGUACUGCUGAAAAAUCAGUAACAUUAUGGUUUGCAAACUGAAUAAUGCCAUAUUUAUUCCUCUGGGUCAAUGCUUUAAUAUGGGUUAUUGUAUCUAUCUCUAUUUUUUAACUAAAAGGUAAAAAAAGAAAUGUCCCACUAACUCUGGAUGUGCUACAGACCCAUAUAGCCCACCCUACUUCCAUUUGCAGAUAACAGGAAAAAACUGUCCCUAAGCAAAAAUUAGAGUUUUCAUCAGGUAAA